GGCGGUUCUCAGGUCACGCACCCCAGGAUCGAGUUCCCUCCUGUCUGGUUCCAGGUGCGUCACCUGAGUACCACA
rfam:Myotis davidii contig27685, whole genome shotgun sequence.